rnacentral:rRNA from 1 species
GAUGAACGCUAGCGGCAGGCCUAAUACAUGCAAGUCGAACGGGAUCCAGAUCAUAGCUUGCUUUGGUCUGGUGAGAGUGGCGCACGGGUGCUUAACGCGUGAGCAACCUACCCUUGUCAGGGGGAUAGCCCGGCGAAAGUCGGAUUAAUACCGCAUGACAUCAUUGAGAGGCAUCUUUCGAUGAUCAAAGAUUUAUCGGACAAGGAUGGGCUCGCGUGACAUUAGCUUGUUGGUAAGGUAAAGGCUUACCCAGGCUGCGAUGUCUAGGGGCUCUGAGAGGAGGAUCCCCCAGACUGGUACUGAGACACGGACCAGAAUGCUACGGGAGGCAGGAGUAAGGAAGAUUGGUGAAGGGACGGAAGUCUGAACCAGCCAUGCCGCGUGCAGGAAGACGGCCAUAGGGGUUGUAAACUGCUUUUAAACGGGAACAAACGGCGGUACGUGUACCGGUCUGAGUGUACCGAAAGAAUAAGGAUCGGCUAACUCCGUG